rfam:Gossypium hirsutum cultivar TM-1 chromosome 12, whole genome shotgun sequence
AACCCAUGGUGAAGGCAUCUUAUCAAUAGAUCCUUGUACCUCUCCCAUGCAUCAUAGAGUGUUUCUAGAUCCAUCUGUAUAAAAUAAGAGAUAUCAUUCCUUAACUU